CCUUUGUUGUCCGACUCUGUUGCCUCCGGGGCGACCCUGCCUCCGGGCGGGGGCCCCGGGUGGACACUUCAAACUCUUGCGUAACUUUGCAGUCUGAGUAAAUUUAAUUAAUAAAUUAAAACUUUCAACAACGGAUCUCUUGGUUCUGGCAUCGAUGAAGAACGCAGCGAAAUGCGAUAAGUAAUGUGAAUUGCAGAAUUCAGUGAAUCAUCGAAUCUUUGAACGCACAUUGCGCCCCCUGGUAUUCCGGGGGGCAUGCCUGUUCGAGCGUCAUUUCACCACUCAAGCCUCGCUUGGUAUUGGGCGACGCGGUCCGCCGCGCGCCUCAAAUCGACCGGCUGGGUCUUCCGUCCCCUCAGCGUUGUGGAAACUAUUCGCUAAAGGGUGCCGCGGGAGGUCACGCCGCAAAACAACCCCAUUUCUAAGGUUGACCUCGGAUCAGGUAGGGAUACCCGCUGAACUUAAGCAUAUCAAUAA
rnacentral:rRNA from 1 species